rnacentral:snoRNA from 1 species
UGCCGUGAUGUCGUAAUUUGCGUCUGACUCUGCGCCCAGUGACAGUUGCCUGCUGUCGGUGCGCUGGCACAGAGGGCUGACGAACAAUUAACACUGAGCA